CGGCGAGUGAAGCGGCAACAGCUCAAAUUUGAAAUCUGGCCUCGGCCCGAGUUGUAAUUUGCAGAGGAUGCUUCUGGCGCGGUGCCUUCCGAGUUCCCUGGAACGGGACGCCACAGAGGGUGAGAGCCCCGUAUGGUCGGACACCAAGCCUGUGUGAAGCUCCUUCGACGAGUCGAGUAGUUUGGGAAUGCUGCUCUAAAUGGGAGGUAAAUCUCUUCUAAAGCUAAAUACCGGCCAGAGACCGAUAGCGCACAAGUAGAGUGAUCGAAAGAUGAAAAGCACCUUGAAAAGGGGGUUAAAUAGUACGUGAAAUUGUUGAAAGGGAAGCACUUGUGACCAGACUUGGGCCCGGGCGGCUCAUCAGGGGUUCUCCCCUGUGCACUCCGCCCGGCACAGGCCAGCAUCGGUUCUCGUGGGGGGAUAAGACCGUCAGGGAACGUAGCACCCUCCGGGGUGUGUUAUAGCCUGGCGGACGAUACCCCCGUGGGGACCGAGGUUCGCGCUCCGCCGCCCAAAGGGAA
rnacentral:rRNA from 1 species